rnacentral:misc_RNA from 1 species
UACAGAGAUGGCAAGCGUUGUUCGGAUUUACUGGGCAUAAAGGGCACGUAGGCGGAUUGGUAAGUCAGGUGUGAAAUCCCUCGGCUCAACCGAGGAACUGCGCCUGAUACUGUCAGUCUUGAGGGCAGGAGGGGAGAGUGGAACUCUUGGUGGAGCGGUGAAAUGCGUAGAUACCAAGAGGAACGCCGGUGGCGAAAGCGACUCUCUGGCCUGUUUCUGACGCUGAGGUGCGAAAGCGUGGGGAGCAAACAGG